rnacentral:miRNA from 1 species
GAAUUUCGGUCACGUCGAAUGCAAUUAAGACAAUAGAUAAUGAGAUGAUAAACCUCAUUAAGCUUCAUCUAUUUUUUGAAUUGCAUUCGACGCGACCGAAAUUC